rnacentral:rRNA from 1 species
GACAGAGGGGGCAAGCGUUGCUCGGAAUUACUGGGCGUAAAGGGCUCGUAGGCGGCCAACUAAGUCGGACGUGAAAUCCCUCGGCUUAACCGGGGAACUGCUUCCGAUACUGGAUGGCUAGAGUGUGGGAGAGGGAUGCGGAAUUCCAGGUGUAGCGGUGAAAUGCGUAGAUAUCUGGAGGAACACCGGUGGCGAAGGCGGCAUCCUGGACCACGACUGACGCUGAGUGAGCGAAAGCCAGGGGAGCAAACGGG